rnacentral:rRNA from 1 species
CCUACGGGUGGCAGCAGUGGGGGAUAUUGCACAAUGGGGGAAACCCUGAUGCAGCGACGCCGCGUGGGCGAAGAAGUAUUUCGGUAUGUAAAGCCCUAUCAGCAGGGAAGAAGAAAUGACGGUACCUGAGUAAGAAGCACCGGCCAAAUACGUGCCAGCAGCCGCGGUAAGGCGUAGGGUGGAAGCGUUAUCCGGGUUUCCGGGGGGUAAAGGGGGCGGAGGCGGCACGGCAAACCUGGAGUGAAAUCCCGCGGCCCAACCGCGGGACUGCAUUGGGAACUACCGGGCUGGAGUGCCGGAGAGGUAGGCGGAAUUCCUAGUGUAGCGGUGAAAUGCGUAGAUAUUAGGAGGAACACCAGUGGCGAAGGCGGCCUACUGGACGGUGACUGACGCUGAGGCUCGAAAGCGUGGGGAGCAAACAGGAUUAGAUACCCCGGUAGUC